GAUUUAAGUGCUACUAACUCAUUUCCAAUUGCUCUGGUCAAGUUUGCUGUUUCAUGUGUCUUGGGUUGGCUUCGCUGAUAAGCAGACCUAGGAGCUGGUGCAUUUGAUGCUCAGGAAGCAGGGAAAAAGAAAGAACAUAUGUUAGCAGAGACAUAUUUGGACCCAACCUAUAUACUUUUUCUCUAUAAAGCAUUCAAAGAACAAUGUGACGAUUACAGUUGUGUGGGAUUUCACCCUUCCUUAACUAUAAAAAGAAGACUUCUUGGGCCAGGCCGGUGGCUCACGCCUGUAGUCCCAGCACUUUGGGAAGCCGAGGCGGAUGGAUCACGAGGUCAGGAGAUCGAGACCAGACUGGCCAACAUGGUGAAACCCCGUCUCUAACAAAAAUAGAAAAAUCAGCUGGGCAUGGUGGUGCAUGCCUGUAGUCCCAGCUACUUGGGAAGCUGAGGCAGGAGAAUUGCUUGAACCUGGGAGGUGGAGGUUGCAGUAAACCGAGAUCGUGCCACUGCACUCCAGCCUGGUGACAGAGCAAGAGUCCGUCUGAAAAAAAAAAAAGACUUCUUAAUAAAAAACAGGCAUACCUCAUUUUACUGCACUUCACUUUUUUUGUGCUUCACAGAUAUUGCUUUUUUUUUUUUUUUUUUUUUUUUUUACAAAUGGAAGGUUUGUGUGGUAACCCUUCAUUCAGCAAGUCCAUUGGUGCCAUUUAUCCAAGAGCAUGUGCUCACCUUGCGUCUCUAUGUUACAUUUUGGUAAUUCUUACAAUAUUUAAAAAUUUUCACUAUGAUUAUAUCUGUGAUGGUGGUCUGUGAUCAGUGAUCUUUGAUGUUCCUAUUGUAAUUGUUUUAGGGCACCACCAACUGCAUUCAUAUAGGACGGUGCACUUAAUUGGUAAAUACUGUGUGUAUUCUAACUGCUCCACCAAUCAGGUGUUGCCUCAUCUUUCUCCUGCUCCUUGGACUCUCAAUUCCCUCAGACACAACAGUGUUGAAAUUAGACCAAUUAAUAUCCCUACAAUGGCCUCUAAGUGUUGAAGUGAAAGAAAGAGUUUCAUGUUUCUCACUUUAAAUAAAAAGCUAGAUAUGAUUAAGCUUAGUGAGUGUAUUAGUCUGUUCUCAUGUUGCUAAUAGAGACAUACCUGAGACUGGGUAAUUUAUAAAGAAAAGAGGUUUAAUGGACUCACCACUCCACAUGAUUGGGGAGACCUCACAGUGAUGGUGAAAGACGAAGGAAGAGCAAAGAGACAUCUUACAUGGUGUCAGGCAGAGAGAGCUUGUGUAGGGGAACUCCCUUUUAUAAAACGAUCAGAUAUCAUGAGAUUUAUUCACUAUCAAGAGAACAGCAGGGGGAAGACCCAUCCCCAUGAUUCAAC
rnacentral:lncRNA from 1 species